AUACCUUUCUCGGCCUUUUGGCUAAGAUCAAGUGUAGUAUCUGUUCUUAUCAGUUUAAUAUCUGAUAUGUGAGUCAUCGACUCACACGAUAUUAACUCAAUUUUUUAAGGGGGAGAGUCCAUUAAAGUAGCUUGCUACUUGGGCUCUCAAGCGUCGCCCAUGCGUUGCACUACUGCAAGGGCCUGGCGAACCCUAC
rnacentral:snRNA from 1 species